GAUGAAGAACGCAGCGAAAUGCGAAAAGUAAUGUGAAUUGCAGAAUUCAGUGAAUCAUCGAAUCUUUGAACGCACAUUGCGCCCGCCAGUAUUCUGGCGGGCAUGCCUGUCUGAGCGUCAUUUCAACCCUCAUGCCCCUAGGGCGUGGUGUUGGGGAUCGGCCAGCGCCCGCGAGGGACGGCCGGCCCCUAAAUCUAGUGGCGGACCCGUCGUGGCCUCCCCUGCGAAGUAGUGAUAUUCCGCAUAGGAGAGCGACGAGCCCCUGCCGUUAAACCCCCAACUUUCUCAGGUUGACCUCAGAUCAGGUAGGAAUACCCGCUGAACUUAAGCAUAUCAAUAAGCGGAGGA
rnacentral:misc_RNA from 1 species